rnacentral:rRNA from 1 species
UACAGGGGGUGCAAGCGUUACUCGGAAUUAUUGGGCGUAAAGAGCGCGUAGGCGGCUUUGUAAGUCUAAUGUGAAAGCCCCGGACUCAAUUCGGGAAGUGCAUUGGAUACUGCAAGGCUGGAGUACUGGAGAGGAGAGUGGAAUUCCAGGUGUAGAGGUGAAAUUCGUAGAUAUCUGGAGGAACAACAGAGGCGAAGGCGGCUCUCUGGACAGUAACUGACGCUGAGGCGCGAAAGCGUGGGGAGCAAACAGG